AGAGAGAGAGAGAGAGAGAGAGAGGAAAACGAAACAUCAAAGCAAAUGCCGGUCAUUUAGUCAUUUGCUCCAACAUUUCAAGUACCUGAUGUCACUUCAUUGGACUUUUCAUUACGUACUUGGCAAAUAAAUGGCUCAACUCAACAGGAAGAGGGAUGGCCCCUGGGUUUGCAGCCUCUAAAUGCCAGAAUUGGGUUAGUUAGAAGCGGGUGAUUUUUAAGAUCAUGCAACACUCUGAUCACGGGCUCUCCAACUUCCUCCCCUCAUUCAUCUUAAUUCAGAUUUACAUACACACAGUGAAAUGCUGGACAGGGAAUCUCUCUAAAAGAUCAAUAAGAGGGAGAAAAUCAGAGUCCGCAGUGAUGCUGAAAAUAUUAAUAGCAAUAAUCCUGCAUCACUUGGUCACUUUUCUUGCAGUGGAGAGAAGAACUGGUAAUGGUGAUGGACGUUGAAGGAGCCCGCAGAGUCCUAACCACGUUUAUGGUCCUGAUGAGCUUGCCUUACACUGGCGCAGCCUGUCAUGGAAUCUCGAUCGUUGUUAAUAGAUCGGACAAAUUAGGCAGAUCAUCCGUGGGUAUCUAUCUAUCUAUCUGUGGGAAUUUUUUUUUUUUGUGAAAUUAAGGAAAUCUUAUCCUUAUCCAUUUAUGUGCACUAAUUACACUUUAAAAAAAAAAAAAAAUUACACUUUCUCUCA